UAAAUAUGUGCGAUGGAAAAGCCCAUCUUACUCUACUACAAACAAGGCCAACACUAUACUUACAAAUCAAUAUAUAGAUAUGGAGAAAGCUUCAACUAAGUUUGUUUUCUUGGUUGCUCUCUUAAUCAUUGCUUCAUGUUUUCCAAUGGGAGGUGAAGCAAGAAGAGUAGUCUCAUGGCGUUGUAGUGUUCCAGACGACUGCAAAUUUCUUUGUCCAACUUGUCCUCCCUGUAAAUGCAUCAAUCAUGUGUGUGACUGUGAUAUUAAGAAGCUCACACUCGAAACCAUCAUUGGACAGCAAGGAAACUAACUCAAGUGUUUCUUUGCAUUAUAUAUCACAUUGAUGAGCAUAUGAGAUGUGCAAUCAAUAAUAAAAAUAAAUAAAAGAUGAUGGCUACUGUUUCAA